rnacentral:tRNA from 1 species
GGGCGAUCGGACGAGCCCGCGAGUUGAUGGCGUUCCCGACCCCAAGCUCUACCAGCCUGAAAAGCGGAAGGUCGGCGGUUCGACCCCGCCCCUGCCCACCA